AUUGAACGCUGGCGGCAGGCCUAACACAUGCAAGUCGAACGAGUGGCGGACGGGUGAGUAAUGUCCGGGAAACUGCCCGAUGGAGGGGGAUAACUACUGGAAACGGUAGCUAAUACCGCAUACCAUCGGAUGUGCCCAGAUGGGAUUAGCUUGUAGGGGAGGUAACGCCUCACCUAGUCGCAGAGCCCUAGCUGGUAUGAGAGGAUGACCAGCCAAACUGAAACUGAGACACGGUCCAGACUCCUACGAGAGGCAGAAGUGGGGAAUAUUGCACAAUGGGCGCAAGCCUGAUACAGCCAUGCCGUGUGUAGGAAGAAGGCCUUCGGGUUGGAAAGUACUGUCAGCGGGGAGGCGUUACCCGCAGUAGAAGCACCGGCUAACUCCGUGCCAGCAGCCGCGGUAAUUC
rnacentral:rRNA from 1 species